GCCAGCAACCAUAUCACCCUGCAACUCACAACUGGCAACCCACUGAAGCUAAGCAUGUGUGAGCCUGGUCAGUACCUGGAUGGGAGACCUCCUGGGAAAAACUAAGGUUGCUGGUG
ensembl:rRNA 5S_rRNA 5S ribosomal RNA